rnacentral:tRNA from 1 species
GGGGGAGUAGCUCAGUUGGUUAGAGCGCGCCCCUGAUAAGGGCGAGGUCGGUGGUUCGAAUCCACUCUCCCCCACCA